rnacentral:rRNA from 1 species
GCAUCGAUGAAGAACGCAGCGAAAUGCGAUACGUAAUGUGAAUUGCAGAAUUCAGUGAAUCAUCGAAUCUUUGAACGCAUCUUGCACUCUCUGGUAUUCCGGAGAGUAUGUCUGUUGGAGUGUCAUGAAUUCUUCAACCCCACCGUUUCUUGCAAACGCGUGGGUGCUUGGAUUCUGAGCGCUGCUGGCUUCGGCCUAGCUCGUUCGUAAUGCAUUAGCAUCCCGAUGACAAGUUUGGAUUGACUUGGCGUAAUAGACUAUUCGCUGAGGAGUAAGUGGCCUUCGGGUUACUGAGCCAACUCGUUUCAGGAAGCUUCUAAUCCCUAAAGUCUACCUUUUAGAUUAGAUCUCCAAUCAGGCAGGAUUACCCGCUGAACUUAAGCAUAUCAAUAAGCGGAGGA